UGCAGAAAAUGACAGUUAUAUUCCUAUGCUGUUCACUACAGCUUUGUCUGGCUUUAAUUUUUGGAGUCAAGGGGCAAAAAGCGAUACCUAUGGAUUUUGCGUUAAGAGGAGGUUCAUAAAUUAUGGAUGAAGUGGGACAGUUAUUGGUAUUUAAAGACAUCAUUCUUCUGGAUGAAUAUUAAUAGGGGUAAAAACCUGAAGGAAUUCCGAAUAAAAACUUUCUGAAAUAGAGCAACUGAACAAAGAUUGCAUGAUUCAAUAAAUAAUACCAUUGAUACUGAAAUGAUGGAUUAUUUAAAUACGCACAUUGAUGCUCUAGAUUUUGCCUGCUCUAUAUAUAGAGGAGCGAUUCCUCACAGCGCAGUUUUUGAACUAAGUCAGUCCACCGAGUUCGUUUUCAAGGUGGUGGUUCCUAUAAUGAGCAGCUUGAAUGAAACCUUUGCAUCGUUAACUCAUGCCACUGUAACCUUUGUGUCUGAGGUGGAUUGAUGUAGUAGGUUGAGGUUGCCCUGGGCUGACCAACAAGCAACCAAAACCAGGCAAGCGUGGAUUGUUGGCAACCCAGUUGCUAGAGCUGUCUUCUCUGGUAGAAAAGGAAUAGCAUAAUGAAAAUGGUGCCAAUGAAAUAAAUAUGCAAACUGCUAAGCAAGAGUAGACUGACAGGGACGGUGGAAGGCAAGUGGAAAUGUAAAAGGAACAUACAAGAUGACAGUCAAAGUCAAGAGAAGAAACUAAAUAUAGACAUAACUUAUGGACUCGAGCUGAGAUGUCCUUACCAUUGGAGAAGCAAUUAACAAAAUCCCUGACUGGAGUAUAUGCAACAUCUGUUAUGGAAGCAUAAAAGGUUAACCUAAAUCCCAACAUGCAGAGAUGUCAUACUAGAACAAAUCAGCAUGUGGAAUUACCUGGAGGCGCCACAAGGUUAAGGUGGAGCAUAUGUAUGGUAAAAAGGUUGUUUAUAACUAGCAGAAUGAAUUUUUCAGGAUGAGAAGGUCAGACAUGCAGAAAUGAAGACUGUCUGUGAUGAGCAGAGAUUGUUUUAGGCUCCAGAUUUCAUCUGGUAAACCCCAAGCUGGAAAAUUUUUUUUUGUACGUCCAAGCUGAAAACAUUUAAAGAAAGGAUUGCACAGAUGCCACAAACUGUCCUUUCUGGAUGGGCUUACACUUACCAGUCAGCUGUAUUGUAUACUAUGUUUUCAUCCGAGUAUAUUUUGUACUAGGUUCAGCAGAUUGGUCAAAUUUGAUUCUCAAGAAGGCUAUUACCAGACAGUGUGAGCUGGUUUUAACCUUUACAUAUCGGAGUCCUUCAGCUUGCUUCAAAUCCAAUGCAUGUUGGUACAAGAGCA